rnacentral:rRNA from 1 species
GGACUUUUGGACAAUGGGGGAAACCCUGAUCCAGCCAUGCCGCGUGCGGGAAGAAGGCCUUCGGGUUGUAAACCGCUUUUGGCAGGAACAAACCGGCGUGCGCCAAUACCGCCCGCUAAUGACGGUACCUGCAGAAUAAGCACCGGCUAACUACGUGCCAGCAGCCGCGGUAAUACGUAGGGUGCAAGCGUUACUCGGAAUUACUGGGCGUAAAGCGUACGCAGGCGGCUGUGCAAGACAGGUGUGAAAUCCCCGGGCUCAACCUGGGAACUGCAUUUGUGACUGCAUAGCUAGAGUCCGUAAGAGGGGGGUGGAAUUCCACGUGUAGCAGUGAAAUGCGUAGAGAUGUGGAGGAACACCGAUGGCGAAGGCAGCCCCCUGGGAUGAGACUGACGCUCAGGUACGAAAGCGUGGGGAGCAAAC